AGAGUUUGAUCAUGGCUCAGGAUGAACGCUGGCGGCGUGCUUAACACAUGCAAGUCGAACGAGAGAAGAUUAGUGCUUGCGCUGAUCCGAUCGAGUGGCGGACGGGUGAGUAACGCGUGGGUAACCUGCCUCAUACAGGGGAAUAACAGUUGGAAACGGCUGCUAAAACCGCAUAAGCGCACAGUAUCGCAUGAUACAGUGUGAAAAACUCCGGUGGUAUGAGAUGGACCCGCGUCUGAUUAGCUAGUUGGUGAGGUAACGGCCACCAAGGCAACGAUCAGUAGCCGGCCUGAGAGGGUGAACGGCCACAUUGGGACUGAGACACGGCCCAAACUCCGUACGGGAANCA
rnacentral:rRNA from 1 species